UACGAAGGUCCCGAGCGUUAUCCGGAUUUAUUGGGUUUAAAGGGUGCGUAGGCGGGUUAUUAAGUCAGUGGUGAAAGCCUACAGCUUAACUGUAGAAUUGCCAUUGAUACUGAUGAUCUUGAGUAUGAUUGAGGUGGGCGGAAUGUGUCAUGUAGCGGUGAAAUGCUUAGAUAUGACACAGAACACCGAUUGCGAAGGCAGCUCACUAAGUCAAUAACUGACGCUGAUGCACGAAAGCGUGGGAGCGAACAGG
rnacentral:rRNA from 1 species